rnacentral:rRNA from 1 species
UACGGGGGGGGCAAGCGUUGUUCGGAAUUACUGGGCGUAAAGGGCUCGUAGGCGGCCAACUAAGUCGGAUGUGAAAUCCCCAGGCUUAACCGGGGAACUGCGUCCGAUACUGGUUGGCUUGAGUUUGGGAGAGGGAUGCGGAAUUCCGAGGUGUAGCGGUGAAAUGCGUAGAUAUCUGGAGGAACACCGGUGGCGAAGGCGACAUCCUGGACCGGUAUUGACGCU